UCAGAACUAUAAAAAGUAUUACAGAAAAUACAAAUUUAUGGCAACAAUCUGGAGGAAAUAUAACAAAAGCCAAAGAUUUUAAAAACUGUAUAAACAUACCUUUAAUCAUUGGCGACGAAGAAACACCUGUCUUAAAGUAUAUUCCCCCUCCUGAGCUUCACCUUUUGUUAGGUGUGGUUCAAAAACUAUUUGAUUGUCUUGAAUUGGAGAAUACUAAUGUUGCAACAGAAUGGACAAAAAAAGCGGGAUUGAAACUAGAUCAUUAUGGAAAAUGUAACGGAAAUAACGCCAGACAACUUUUAAAGAAAGUGGAUAUUUUGAAGACGAUAUCGCCCGGAAUAAAUAUAUUGCAGUGUUUUCUGCAUUGAAU
rnacentral:lncRNA from 1 species